rnacentral:rRNA from 1 species
GAUGAACGCUGGCGGCGUGCCUAAUACAUGCAAGUCGAGCGAACGGACGAGAAGCUUACUUUUCUGAUGUUAGCGGCGGACGGGUGAGUAACACGUGGAUAACCUACCUAUAAGACUGGGAUAACUUCGGGAAACCGGAGCUAAUACCGGAUAAUAUUUUGAACCGCAUGGUUCAAAAGUGAAAGACGGUCUUGCUGUCACUUAUAGAUGGAUCCGCGCUGCAUUAGCUAGUUGGUAAGGUAACGGCUUACCAAGGCAACGAUGCAUAGCCGACCUGAGAGGGUGAUCGGCCACACUGGAACUGAGACACGGUCCAGACUCCUACGGGAGGCAGCAGUAGGGAAUCUUCCGCAAUGGGCGAAAGCCUGACGGAGCAACGCCGCGUGAGUGAUGAAGGUCUUCGGAUCGUAAAACUCUGUUAUUAGGGAAGAACAUAUGUGUAAGUAACUGUGCACAUCUUGACGGUACCUAAUCAGAAAGCCACGGCUAACUACGU